GAUGUAGCCCAGUGGUAAGAGCUUUUGCUUUGCCUGCAGAAGGUCCCAGAUUCAAUUUCCAGCAACUCCA